GACAGAGGGUGCAAGCGUUGUUCGGAAUUACUGGGCGUAAAGGGCGCGUAGGCGGCCUCUUAAGUUCCGUGUGAAAUCCCCCGGCUCAACUGGGGAACUGCGCGGAAUACUGGGAGGCUAGAGUACCGGAGAGGAGGGUGGAAUUCCUGGUGUAGCGGUGAAAUGCGUAGAUAUCAGGAGGAACACCGGUGGCGAAGGCGGCCCUCUGGACGAGUACUGACGCUGAGGCGCGAAAGCGUGGGGAUCAAACAGG
rnacentral:rRNA from 1 species